GCUGGGCGAGGUGGUGCGCGCCUGUAGUCCCAGCUACUCAGGAGGCUGAGGCAGGAGAAUUGCUUGAACCCGGGAGGUGGAGGUUGCAGUGAGCCAAGAUCACACCACUGCAAUCCAGCCUGGGCGACAGAGCAAGAUUCCGCCUCAA
ensembl:misc_RNA Metazoa_SRP Metazoan signal recognition particle RNA